rnacentral:rRNA from 1 species
AUUGAACGCUGGCGGCAGGCCUAACACAUGCAAGUCGAGCGAGAGGCGGACGGGUGAGUAAUGUAUGGGGAUCUGCCCGAUAGAGGGGGAUAACUACUGGAAAAGGUGGCUAAUACCGCAUACUAUAGGAUGAACCCAUAUGGGAUUAGCUAGUAGGGGGGGUAAAGGCGCACCUAGGCGACGAGCUCUAGCUGGUCUGAGAGGCUGAUCAGCCACACGGGAACUGAGACACGGUCCAGACUCCUACGGGAGGCAGCAGUGGGGAAUAUUGCACAAUGGGCGCAAGCCUGAUGCAGCCAUGCCGCGUGUAUGAAGAAGGCCUUCGGGUUGUAAAGUACUGUCAGCGAGGAGGCGUUACUCGCAGAAGAAGCACCGGCUAACUCCGUGCCAGCAGCCGCGGUAAUUC